rnacentral:lncRNA from 1 species
GUCCCUCAUUUCUUCUCAUGCCUUGUAUGUAAGGUAUGUGUCAUACCCUAAUUUUUAACCCUAAGAUCCCACAUACCAUUGGCAUCCUUGCAUACAAAAAAGGUCACUUCUUAGUCCCUCUCCCUCUCAUCUUUGGGUGUUGCUUUUGCAGGGAUCACCAAGCACCUCUUUGUUAAUGUUUUACCUUUGUGUGUAUAUGUU